rnacentral:rRNA from 1 species
UCAGGUGUUUGCCAGGGGUCGUCGCUUUGUUCUAAGUCCAGCAUAGAUAAUGGCUCUGGAUGUUGCCCAUAGCGGGUGAAAGGGCCGUUAGAAUGAACCUCAAAGCAUGUUGACGUACCCCAGUUGCAUUCACUAUGGAGUCGGAUAGUUUGAGAAUGCUGUCCAAAGUGGGUGGUAAAGUCCAUCCAAGGCUAAUUACUGGCACGAAUCCGAUAGUAGACAAGUACCGUGAGGGAAAGUUGAAAAGUACUCUGAAGAGAGAGUAAAUAGUACGUGAAGCCGCAUGUAUGGAAGCUGGUGGAGUCAAGCUGCAUGCUCUUGCUAAUAAACUAGUGACUGUUGUAUGCUUAUCCAGAUGGAUGUGCCGGUUGCCUUGAAUUUAGGCUGACGAAUUCUUUCGUUCCGCGAGCGUACUGGUUAGUGCGUGUGGGCUGGCCAUUUUAAUCUUGGUGUCACUGGUGUACUUGCCUUGUAGCAGACAUCACGAUAGGUAUUUAUGUUGGCAUUUGGUAGUACAAACCAUCAGUUUACGGGUUUCAAAUUCGUAUCUGUUGGGAUGGCAGGUUGCCUGUUUAUUUGCCUCCUGUGAGUGUAUGGGUUUUUCUUGGUUGUGGCCGGCCGUCUACCAUU